rnacentral:sRNA from 1 species
GGCCUGCUGCGGCGCGAUGAAGUGGAUAUGCGUGUCGAUGCCGCCUGCCGUCAGGAUCUUGCCCUCGCCGGCGAUGACGUCGGUGCCCGGGCCGAUGACGAUGUCGACGCCCGGCUGGAUAUCGGGAUUGCCGGCCUUGCCGAUCGCGACGAUGCGCCCGUUCUUGACACCGACAUCCGCCUUCACGAUGCCCCAGUGAUCGAGGAUCACGGCAUUGGUGAUGACGAGGUCGACGACCUCGGCCGCAUUGCGCUGGCCCUGGCCCAUGCCGUCGCG